rnacentral:sRNA from 1 species
CUGACUGUCCUGGAGAAUAAAGUCGAUUAUUCAUAUAGGACACAUAGCAAUGGCAGCAGCAGUGCAAACUUCUCCAUGUUGCCCUGCUGUUGAGCCUCAACACUGACCUGGAGGAAACCUUCUAGUGAUGGGAGGAGUGUUCAAUGUCUUUGGCCUUUGUGCUGAGACGGAC